UGUGCAUAUCAAUAAGCGGAGGAAAAGAAACCAACAGGGAUUGCCUUAGUAACGGCGAGUGAAGCGGCAAAAGCUCAAAUUUGAAAUCUGGCACCUUCGGUGUCCGAGUUGUAAUUUGAAGAAGGUAACUUUGGAGUUGGCUCUUGUCUAUGUUCCUUGGAACAGGACGUCACAGAGGGUGAGAAUCCCGUGCGAUGAGAUGCCCAAUUCUAUGUAAAGUGCUUUCGAAGAGUCGAGUUGUUUGGGAAUGCAGCUCUAAGUGGGUGGUAAAUUCCAUCUAAAGCUAAAUAUUGGCGAGAGACCGAUAGCGAACAAGUACAGUGAUGGAAAGAUGAAAAGAACUUUGAAAAGAGAGUGAAAAAGUACGUGAAAUUGUUGAAAGGGAAGGGCUUGAGAUCAGACUUGGUAUUUUGCGAUCCUUUCCUUCUUGGUUGGGUUCCUCGCAGCUUACUGGGCCAGCAUCGGUUUGGAUGGUAGGAUAAUGACUAAGGAAUGUGGCUCUACUUCGGUGGAGUGUUAUAGCCUUGGUUGAUACUGCCUGUCUAGACCGAGGACUGCGUCUUUGACUAGGAUG
rnacentral:rRNA from 1 species